UCGAACGAGACCUUCGGGUCUAGUGGCGCACGGGUGCGUAACGCGUGGGAAUCUGCCCUUCGGUUCGGAAUAACUCAGGGAAACUUGAGCUAAUACCGGAUAACGACUUCGGUCCAAAGAUUUAUCGCCGAGGGAUGAGCCCGCGUCGGAUUAGCUUGUUGGUGAGGUAAAAGCUCACCAAGGCGACGAUCCGUAGCUGGUCUGAGAGGAUGAUCAGCCACACUGGGACUGAGACACGGCCCAGACUCCUACGGGAGGCAGCAGUGGGGAAUAUUGGACAAUGGGGGAAACCCUGAUCCAGCAAUGCCGCGUGAGUGAUGAAGGCCUUAGGGUUGUAAAGCUCUUUUACCCGGGAUGAUAAUGACAGUACCGGGAGAAUAAGCCCCGGCUAACUCCGUGCCAGCAGCCGCGGUAAUACGGAGGGGGCUAGCGUUG
rnacentral:rRNA from 1 species